AGAAGGGUCAGUACAGAAAGAAGAGGUAACUUAUACACAUGAGGAAUGAAUAGCAAAAUAUUACACUUCUUCCUGCAAGUUUCCACAUCUAAGGAAGCUAAGGAACUUCCCCCCUCUAAAAACAAUAAUACUAAAUUCCCGAGAUUAUUAUGAGGAUUAAAUGAGGUAAUCAAUACAUUGAAGAGCUCGCUAUUAUUACUACUACUACUAUUACUGUGUGUUUCUAUUUAACUUUAUGCUGGCUUCCUACUAUAAUUGUAUUUCUGUUGUCUUUCUACCUGAUGUCCUUAUAUCAUUUUAUUGUAUUGCAGUAUUUCUAAAACCUUUUAAAAUAAUAAUUAAAACAUUGUCCUUUAUACAUAAAUGAUAUAAAUGUAAAUAAAAUGAGAACACUCUUUGCUACCCCAGCACUAAAGCCUACUGUGCAACCCUGGAACAGAUAAAGCUUGGACACAGGUACCAUCUGGCUCAAGGCGUAACUGAAUGGAAACAGUAUUUGUGUUGAAUGUGGUAGCUAUAGCUUUGCUAUAGCUUAUCCUACAUCCAGAACUUGGUUCAUGCCUUGGAACAGGUACAGGAUCAUGCAGUGCCAGGCCCCUGCCAGAUGCCCUACAUUCAAGAAGAAUGGAAAACAGCAUCCAGCCAUGGACCCUGCUUUCGAGCAGUCUUAGGUCAAUGACUGCUUUUGGAGAGGAUUUGGGAAGGAAUGAAGAGAAAAGAGAAGGCAGAUUGAAAGCUCAGAGUAUAGGAGCUCCUAUUGUGGCUCAACAGGUUAAGAACCCGACUAGUUCCAUGAGGAUGUGGGCUUCAUCCCUGACCCCCUUAGUGGGUUAAGGAUCCCACAUGGCUGUGAGCUGUGGUGUAGGUCACAGAUGUAGCUCAUAUCUGGUACUGCUGUGGCUGUGGCAUAGGCCAGCAGCUGCAACUCCAAUUCGAACCCUUAAUUUUUUUUUUUUUUUUUUUUUUACACAGCACUUAUGACACAGCUUUUUGAGCUCUAGUUUCGUCACUUGUGAAAUGGUGAUGAGGGUGCAGAGAAGACCUGAAUCACACCUUGAAGGGCUUCUUAAUCUUUUUCUUUUGACUCCUUUGACAGUCUGUUGACCCACCUGUUGACCCUACUGUUUUGUUUAGGUUCUUCCAGAAGCAGAUCCUGAAUGCAACCAACUGAUUUGAGAGAUAUAGGAAAUAAUCACAGAGAAGUGGGAAGGCAAGGCAGCCAAAAAAAUGGACAAUGAGAACUUAAUCCUGCAGGCUUUUCUGGGACAAAGAGGGCAAAACCACUUCUCAGUAUUUACCCACCUGAAAGGGGAGAGAGUUGAGAUAAUUAUAUGCCUGCUCCUGAGCAUUAGCCACCCUGCUCUGGCACUCCCAGCCUGCGUACCACGUGGGUACCAAGCAAUGCUGCUUUACAUAAUGGGUGGGAUAGAGAGUUUUCAGGCCCAGGGACGUAGACACUGGAUGUUAGAAGCCAGCUGAAGCAUCCAGAAAGGUCCGGGGAUAUGCAGAGGGACGCUUCCAACGUCUGCUACAGACUCCCUUCUCAGAAUAAUGUUUUGAAAUGCAUAAAAUAAAAUUCAUAGGAUUACAAAGAAAACCAAUUACGUUGAAAUUCAGUUCUAUCCACAGACCCCUUGGGGGACCCCAGACUAAGAAGCCCUGCUAAGGUUUCUUUUCAAUGUGAAAUUGUAUGGUUUGAUGACCUAAGAGCAUGGAUUGUGUUACUCUGCCAGGAGGUGGUUAAGUUCUGUACAGUCUCUGCAGAAACUAUUUCAGAGGAAAAAUGUGUUCCCCCAACCUGACAAUCCCCUGCAGCCCAGGGACUAUGAAUGAGGCUGCUGGCCUCUCUCACUCUCUUUUUAUUUUUUACAGUGUUUAUUUUGCCUUGUUUACGUUUCUGCGUUUUUAAUGUGUCCUUUGUAAGCCCUGAACACACUGCAGGGCAGCAAUUUGCCCGCAUUGCCUUGGGGGCCUCUCUGCCUUCCUCCGCUGUCCCCUGGGGAGCUCCAUCUUUAAAGUCCUGCACAAGGGCCCCAGAGCUCCCUGCCAUGCAGCCAUGGCGGGCUAGGGUCCAUCCUGUGGCAUCGUGGUGCCAACAGGUGUCUGCGUGCGGGGUGCUGGAGCAGGCGCCCCCCUGGGAGCUGCAUGCCGCGGAGACACCACCCACCUCCUAAUGUGCCUCCAUGGCUCUGUUACUCACAGCUAAAUUACAGUAUUAUGACUUCAUUGUUGAGUCCCAAUUCUCCUAAUUAUAGCCUAGAGAUCUAUUAUUUGAUUUGGUAACACCAAGUGCUUCUUUUCUAAAUCAUGUAAUCUCUUGUAGCUUAUUAAUGUCAGGUUUGCGCACACGCAGGGACUUGGUUGUUUGCCAGACAGAAUCAAAUUUUCAAAUUUUCGCUGUGUUAUGUUACAGGGCUUUGCUUGUUACAAUCUAAUUAUAUUGGCACUGAAAUACCGAAAACCAAUUUAUAUUAGAAAGCACUUUAACUCUUUCUUUGGAGUGAAUUUACAUGCAGAAGUGUCUGCCACACCAUUGGUCUUUUUGUUUUUCCACGGGGAACUGCCUUCUGGGAAAGAGGUGAAAACUAACAGUUCCUCUCUGUUAAAAAGUCUGCCGUUGAUGGGCUGGAACUCUGAAUGUGGCCAUUCUCUUGCUGGAAGCAUGGGGAAGGAAGGAAGCCUGCCUCUCCCAUCUCCCUACACGCUUCUUCAGGCCUCGCUGCUGGGAGUGCCACUUGCCCCAGGCACCUGGAAACCCCUCUCCUGGUGGGUGUCAAUGUUGGCAGUAUCAUCCCCAGCCUUGGACCAUUUAAUCUCCUUCCUACCCUCUUCUUCCCUUCAGAUGUAUUUUUUUCUAUGCUCUGUUUCCACUAUGGGUUCAAUGAAUCCUUUGCCCUGAAGACAUUGCCUGUUGAAGACCAAGUGGCACUUGCUGAUUAGAGAAGUUGUUCCAGCAGUGGGACCACACUCAUCAGCCUACUUUGCCUUUUCAGGAGACUCCUGUGGCUGCUGGGUUGGACGGUCAGGGUAUUUGUCUAGCCCCUCUGUUAGUCUCUCUAGCAAUGACUGUUGCUUUCUGAACCAGGAACGCUGUUCCUUGUCAGACUGUUAUCACCAGGGAAGCCUAGAUCUAAAUCAUCCAGUAUACUGCCUUUGAAAAAGAGGCCCAGCUUCCUCCUACCUCAUUUUAAAGGUCUUAUUUUUUUGGAGUGGUUUUAGGUUCACUGCAAAAUCAAAAGAUGAAGGUACAGAAAUAUCCUAAUUACCCACGCCCUCACACAGGCACCCCCUGCCAUGAACAUUUCAGCAGUGGUAGGUACAUUUGUGACCUGCCUCCAACCCUACUUUAUUCAGACCAUGCCCUUCCUCCAUCCUUAAGUCCAGACACACAGUUUUGUUUUUUUCUCCCAAUUUCUCUUUCCCACUGUAGGACAUCUGUACACGUUCUACCUGCAAUUCUGUUGUUAUUUCCGGCUCAUCUCAGAUAAAAUGUCACUUCCUUAGAGAAAACUCCCUUUCCCUCAAUUUAACCACGUACCCCCUCCACUCCAUUUUAUUUAUGCUACCUUGGAUUUAUUUGUUUCCUUCCUUAUUAUCUCUGCCCUGCCCUUCCCUCCCUGUGACUCUAAAAUCCAUGAGGGCAGAGAUUUUGUUCUGGUCACUGCUGAACUUCUAGUGCCAAGCGCAGGGCCUGGCACAUAGAUGGAGACUGGUCAAUAGCUGUGCGUAAAGGAGUAAGGGUAUCACAGGAAAUGUAUAUCCUUUGCCUUUUGGUGGAGAAGACCUGUGAUCCAGCUCUUUGGAUUGUCUAGCUCUCCCCCUCCCUUCCUUGUGCUGACCAUGUGGAUUAGCUUCAUUCUCUCCGAGGCUGGAGGGUAUGGCCAGUCUGCUGCCCCCGCGCAGGAAGCCAAGGCCAUAGCAGCUUGGCACAGAUGUGGCUUGGUCUCUCCAUCUCAACUUCUCUGCUGGAGCCUGGGCAGCUGACUCAGGACCUGUCUGAACCACAGGCCUCAUCCUCCAUGGCACCUUCUCUGGCCCUUCUCUGGACAUGGUUCUUGUGUGGUGCCUGCAUGUGUCACCUGACCAGUGGGCUGGUGGCAGCAGAGGACCCAUCAGUGGCCACGUCAAGGAUCACUCCUGUUUGUCUAAGUGAGGGAUGAAGUGGUACAAGGCCAGGAAACCCCCCUUUCACGGCAGACACUGAGUCACAGGAGGGGAGGGAAGGGUGGGAAAUAAACAAGACCUCCCCUGAAGCAGGGUGGUUAGCCAAGCACAAACGGCUGCACAGAAGUGACCCAGCAGAAACAAGGACGCAGUGAACUUGCACCACCCACAGCUCUGAACAAGACAAUCACAGAGCUGAUCUGUAGACUCAUGUGGCUACUGAAUCUCAAUUCUGACAAACCAUUGAUCACUUUUAUGGAGUGAGCCAACCCCCCUUUCUGUUUCUUUCUCUAGAAUUUUCCCCAUAAGAGUGGUGAGGUAGAGGACUCUUUAGCCACAUGUGCGUGCAAAAGAAGCCCUCCUAGGAAGCAGAAAGCCCAGGGCCUCUCUCCCCUAAUCUGUGGGUCUCCUAGAGUAUCCAAGAUGCAUUAAGAAUUGGAGAGGUGCCCUCCAUUCAGAAAGCCCAGCCAAAGACCACAAAGCAAGGUAGGUCCCUAUGCCCACUUCCUUGGAAUAAAGGCUUUGAAACACACUUCAUUCUGAGAACUUGGCCUGUUUCCUUCUCCCUGCUACGUCUUCUCUCCACAUGCUUCCUCUGUCUGGAACGCUCUCCUGCCCCAUCCUCUUUCUGCUUGUAGAAAUUUAACCCAUCUUUCACAGCCUGAUUGAAAAAUCAUCUGCUCAAAGGAGUAUUCUGGUCAGAUCCACCUGGUCAGAAUUACACUCUGCCCCCACUUGCCCUUGUCGUAAGUGGCUUGUACUAUUUCUAGCUUGGAUGAUCAUAUAUCCCAGUUUGUUUGGGACAGUCCCAGUUUAUGCCUGUUUUUCCAGCAAUUAUUAGUAACAUCUUUUAACUCUCAAAAAUGUCCCCAUUGAACAAUAGGUUAUGUGGUGUGACAGACACACCUCUGGUGAUUCCUAUUGAGUCAUGUCUUUUUCUAAUCCUUUCCCUGUGCAUGCAUGUAUGCACAGUGACUUGCUUCUAGCCAACAGAAUAUGGCAAAGGUGACAGAAUGGUCACUCCGUCGCUUACGGUACUUUAUCUGAGACUCUGUCCAGGCAGCUAAAGAGAUUCUUCUGGGGGCCUUGAAGCUGCCUGUGGAGAGAGCCACAGGAACUACAAGCAGGAAUGUAGGGCAGCUCCUAGGACUUGAAGGUCUCUGCCUUCCAGAUGCAAGAAGCCGAAUUCUGCCUGCAGCCAUGACGGCCAGAGCAGACCCUGAACUCCAGGAAGGAAACCUCUGACUUCUUGAUUGCAGCCUUUGAGAC
rnacentral:lncRNA from 1 species